UACGGGGGGAGCAAGCGUUGUUCGGAUUUACUGGGCGUAAAGGGUGUGUAGGCGGUUCUUUAAGUUUGGUGUGAAAUCUCCCGGCUCAACCGGGAGGGUGCGCCGAAUACUGAGGGACUAGAGUGCGGGGGAGGAAAGUGGAAUUCCUGGUGUAGCGGUGAAAUGCGUAGAUAUCAGGAGGAACACCGGUGGUGUAGACGGCUUUCUGGACCGUAACUGACGCUGAGACACGAAAGCGUGGGUAGCAAACAGG
rnacentral:rRNA from 1 species